rnacentral:lncRNA from 1 species
CUCUCUCUCUCUCUCCUGUUUCCCCUUCUCUUCCUGCUGAAGAUGAUGCAAACAUGGACACAAAGGAUCAACUCAGUACUGUGAUGAUUAAAUGUGCAUGAAUAGAGUGGAUGCAUGUCAUGGUUAGACUAAGUGCUUCCAAAGUGAAGAGGGUUGGGGGCAAUGGCAGCUGGGGGAUAUGGAAAAGGUAGACUACUUUGGAUUGGAACACCAUAAAAAUCAAUUUAAUGCAAUAGUGGGGAACUACGUCAGAUGAUAAAUGCCAUUUAUUUCCACCCCUCACCUCUUCGUCUUGACCAGUCAACCAUUUGCUUCGUCUCUGAAUGCAUACAACGGAACGUAAUUGCACCACUUAAUGCGACGCCCAUCACACCGUUGCCAUAUUCGAGCUUCCUUCCCACGUUGAGCGGCAGCAUUUUAUUCUGAUAUCUGAAGAAACAAAAGUGAAGAAAACAGGUGUUAGAACAGAUGUCAUCGAGCAAAGAGAAGCAUGAACAAGAAGAACUGUUUUCUAAAUGCAUUGAUAUAGGAAUAACAGCACAGAUAUCACACAGACAAAACAAAAAACAAAUUGCUUUCUGUAUGCACCGAUGUAAGUCCUAUCACGACACUCAAAUCCAACCCCCUAUGACCAUCCGGAUCAUAUUGGGCAUUUCAUGUUCCCAUCAACAAUUUGUUCAUCUCCUUUUCCUUUUACAAAGUUUAAACUAUAUCAUUAAAAGCAACAAAGACGUGCCAAGAGAUGCAGAAAUACAAGUUCCAAGUUCUGAAGCAGAGUUGGCAUAUCAUAAGUUUGUCAAAGCAGAGCAGAAAAUAUGGAAGCCCACAACACACUUCAAAAUCUAGUCCUGUGUGACAAAGCUGACACAUGCAACUCAACAAAAAGGGUUCGAUAAGGAAAAGAAUUGGCACAAGCUUUCACCAGAGAUCGGCACUUUAUAAAAAUGAUAUCCUCCGACAAUGACCAGUACUUGUUUGUUUAUUUGGUUUUCACUCCACAAAAGCUGAUAGAUUCUGGAGAAAUCACAGAAUCUUUUAACAAACAGAUACAGGGUAUCAAACCAUCACACAGUACCAGACAGCUGAAGAACAAGGAACAAGUUUUUGGAUGGGCCAAAAUAUAUUGAUUCUAAUAUAUAUUUUUCAACUAUAUAUAAAUCUUUAUCUAAGUUAUCAUAGAAUCUAAUAUGUAAUAUAAGGUACUUGUAACACCCAUUUGCUUAUUAUUGUGUAACGUGCAAAUAUGUAAUAAGUGACAGUACCAUUCUGUAUCUUAGUUUGGCAUGUUCUAGGAUUUCUAUGUAAUAUUAGAUACUUGAAUUCGCCUUAAAGCUAGAUAUUGGCCACAUAUUUCAAAAUUAAAAACCUUGCUCUCCCAGUCAACCUGGCAGUAAACAGAAAAUAGAACAUUACAAUUUAAAGAUUUAAACAUGAAUAAAAUAAAACCACAAAAAAAAAGAAUUAAGAAGAUGAUGCCAUGCGGAUAUCCUAUAUUGCCCUUUCCCAGCAUCUUUUUGGUUGCUCCAUAUUAUAGCUUGCUUCUUUUCAUCCAUAGAGAAUCUUCACUAAGCUUGGACGGGUGUCUUUCCCUAGAAUGAUACUCCUUUCUACCUUGUUUUGGUGUCUUGACACCAUCGGGUGCCUAUCCGGUGAUCUAAUUGAAUUGGGUCCAGAUAUUUUUGAUAGUCUUCCUUCUUCUCUAACACUUCUCCGUCUUUCUAUUAAACUGGGCAAAAAUUCUCUCAAAUAAUUCUCUCCCUCUCUUUUAUCAAUAAAUCUUUCUACCCAUAGAACCAUAAGGGCUAUCCAUCCGAAAGUCUUUCUACCCAUAGAACCAUAAGUGCUAUCCAUCUGGACGUCCUCGUUCUCAUUACUUGAAUCAUAACCAUGUGUCUAUACCAAGCUCACAUCAUCGAUCAUUUUCUUCUUCAUCAGGAUCACUUGUCAUGACUACUAGCUGAACACCUUGACCCCUCUUUUUAUCAUGUGCAUCAUUAAAACUUUGCCUUCCAUGACUAUAAACUAAGGGACGAAAUGAAGUAGCAGAAAAACCCCUUCUAUCAUUUUAUCCCUGACCUCAACUUUGUAUAUUCUUCUCUCAAGAUCCCAGGAUGAAAGAAUUCAUUGAAUCUGGUGGUCCGUCCCAAUCUUUGAAAAUGUCUAGGCCGUCUUCCAGUUGUGAAUUGCAUGGCCAGAACCUUCCAAAUUCGUUCGAGUUCAUCCUACAUACAAAGGCAUCUGCUGGAAACUUAGAGAGAGAAUCACACUUGAUUACAUCUGAUCUAACGAAGUGCAAUGAAGAAUGCACGAUCAAAUGAAAUUCAAAACAAUUUAAGAAGUUUCGUAGCAAAGUGUAUGGCAAAGAUAAUGUAUUGUCAAAAAGAAAAGGCAUGAGAAACAAGGCAGUCAUACAGCCUUAUUGUGGAUAAAAAAGUGUUCCAAUUUUAGGCACUUGAUUUUAUAGGCUAAUGAUGGCAUACAUCACAGCGAUAUCAAUCCAAAAGUAACGUGCCACUUUGAGCAUAUUUCAAUUACAUAACUCAAAAAAACCUCUCUAUAAGUAUGCUAACAUUUAAAAGAUUAAAAGUACCUGGUUCGGAAACCUAACAGUAAGCAACCAAUUUUGACCGUCAGCACUGGACUAUGAUGAGACAAAGACCAAGAAACGUGAAAGAAGAGAUUGUGAUGAAUCAGUCCAUAUGGUAUAUCCAGUCGUACUACUCCAAUUAUUUUAUCAAAAGAUAUUUCAAGAAUUAUGCUAAAUGAGAAAUAUUUAUUAAAAAAAAUGCAAAAAAAAAACCUGUCGAUAAAAAAUCUAAAAAGAAAAGAUUUUUCAGAAAUUAGCCCAAUUCUUCUUCCCGGCUAGCCAAGUCUUCAACAACGACACAUGAAGACUAUGUCAUCGUUGGUCCUCGGUGCUUUGGCCCUCAGUAAAGGCUUAUCAUUCCUGACAUUGCCUCACCAAUGCACGCCAGCCAAUCAUCCAUCCAACACAAUUACUCGUUUAUUGUCACCACGUCAAGGACGAGGCUGGAUUCCUCUGCCAUUUGUGGUUAGAAUCAAGAAAAUGAUCUCUUAAUACAGCGUGGUGCAAAUGCAUCCGUCGGAUCAUGAUCUGACGAUCACUAGCUACGGAACUCAAAAUUAACUAUCACUCGAGUACGUACUGAUAUAACCGGAGUCCAAUCAACACGUAUUUUAAAGACAGUGGCAGAAUAGUGAUCGGCGGAAUGUUCUUGUGCGACAAUUGAGCCAUUUUUCUUAUUUUUAUUUAUUUA